rnacentral:rRNA from 1 species
GAUGAACGCUGGCGGCGUGCCUAAUACAUGCAAGUCGAGCGAACAGAUGAGGAGCUUGCUCCUCUGACGUUAGCGGCGGACGGGUGAGUAACACGUGGAUAACCUACCUAUAAGACUGGGAUAACUUCGGGAAACCGGAGAUAAUACCGGAUAAUAUAUUGAACCGCAUGGUUCAAUAGUGAAAGACGGUUUUGCUGUCACUUAUAGAUGGAUACGCGCCGCAUUAGCUAGUUGGUAAGGUAACGGCUUACCAAGGGGACGAUGCGUAGGCGACCUGGGAGGGUGAUCGGCCACACGGGAGCUGGGACACGGUCCAGACUACUACGGGAGGCAGCAGUAGGGAAUCUGCCGCAACGGGCGAAAGCCUGACGGAGCAACGCCGCGUGAGUGAUGAAGGUCUUCGGAUCGUAAAACUCUGUUAUUAGGGAAGAACAUAUGUGUAAGUAACUAUGCACGUCUUGACGGUACCUAAUCAGAAAGCCACGGCUAACUACGUG